UGCCCAGACUCCUACGGGAGGCAGCAGUAGGGGAUAUUGCACAAUGGGGGAAACCCUGAUGCAGCGAUGCCGCGUGAAUGAAGACGGCCUUCGGGUUGUAAAGUUCUGUCGCAGGGGACGAAAAUGACGGUACCCUGCAAGAAAGCUCCGGCUAACUACGUGCCAGCAGCCGCGGUAAUACGUAGGGGGCAAGCGUUAUCCGGAAUUACUGGGUGUAAAGGGAGCGUAGACGGUGAAGUAAGUCUGGAGUGAAAGGCGGGGGCCCAACCCCCGGACUGCUCUGGAAACUGUGAAGCUGGAGUGCAGGAGAGGUAAGCGGAAUUCCUGGUGUAGCGGUGAAAUGCGUAGAUAUCAGGAGGAACACCGGCGGCGAAGGCGGCUUACUGGACUGUAACUGACGUUGAGGCUCGAAGGCGUGGGGAGCAAACAGGAUUAGAUACCCCAGUA
rnacentral:rRNA from 1 species